rnacentral:rRNA from 1 species
GAUGAACGCUGGCGACGUGCCUAAUACAUGCAAGUCGUACGGAAAGGCCCUUCGGGGUACUCGAGUGGCGGACGGCUGAGUAACGCGUGGGAACGUGCCCCAGAGUGAGGGAUAACGCACCGAAAGGUAUGCUAAUACCGCAUAUGGUCUUCGGAUUAAAGCUUCGGCGCUUUGGGAGCGGCCCGCGUACGAUUAGAUAGUUGGUGAGGUAAUGGCCCACCAAGUCGACGAUCGUUAGCUGGUCUGAGAGGAUGAUCAGCCAGACUGGGACUGAGACACGGCCCAGACUCCUACGGGAGGCAGCAGUAAGGAAUCUUCCACAAUGGGGGCAACCCUGAUGGAGCAACGCCGCGUGCAGGAUGAAGGUUUUCGGAUCGUAAACUGCUUUUAUAAGUGAAGAAUAUGACGGUAACUUAUGAAUAAGGAUCGGCUAACUACGUGCCAGCCGCCGCCGUAA